rnacentral:rRNA from 1 species
AGUGAACGCUGGCGGUAGGCCUAACACAUGCAAGUCGAACGGCAGCACAGUAAGAGCUUGCUCUUACGGGUGGCGAGUGGCGGACGGGUGAGGAAUACAUCGGAAUCUACUUUUUCGUGGGGGAUAACGUAGGGAAACUUACGCUAAUACCGCAUACGACCUACGGGUGAAAGCAGGGGAUCUUCGGACCUUGCGCGAUUGAAUGAGCCGAUGUCGGAUUAGCUAGUUGGCGGGGUAAAGGCCCACCAAGGCGACGAUCCGUAGCUGGUCUGAGAGGAUGAUCAGCCACACUGGAACUGAGACACGGUCCAGACUCCUACGGGAGGCAGCAGUGGGGAAUAUUGGACAAUGGACGCAAGCCUGAUCCAGCCAUACCGCGUGGGUGAAGAAGGCCUUCGGGUUGUAAAGCCCUUUUGUUGGGAAAGAAAAGCAGCAGGUUAAUACCCCGCUGUUCUGACGGUACCCAAAGAAUAAGCACCGGCUAACUUCGUGC